rnacentral:lncRNA from 1 species
CCCUCUCCACCGAAGCCCCGCUGAGGCCCCACGCACGCACUCUUCGCAAACGCAGUUCUUCAGCCUUCGCUGAUAGAGAGUUGGCAGACUGCGGAGGGCGUUAGACAGCCCCAAAUCCUGGGCUGCCGGGAGGCAAUAAGAGCAGAAGAUGAAGGGCUUGGAGCCAGGGAUGAGCCUGAGGUCUUAGGGGAGGAUAGAGAACCAGAGAAUGAAAGCCGAGCAGGCUCCUUUAGCUUCUUGGAGAGAAGUGGGUUGAGAUUAGGAUGGAGCUGGCGGGGGCCUUUCUUCUUUAGGUUCAGGGGUUUGCCCAGGAGACCAGGGCUAGGGGUCAAAAAGAGCCAACGCCCAGCAGGCUGCCCUGAGUGCCACGGGGUCAGUCAGGCCCCUGGAAGGAAUGAUCCCGCUAUGGCCAAGACAUUUUUGGAACGUAUAGGAAAGCAUGUAGAACAAUUCAGCUUGAGCCUCACCAGGUCUUCCCAUGGUGCAGGCUCCACAUGCUCUGCCCUGGCCAGGUCUGCAGGGUAAUGGCUGCUCUGAGAAGGGCGAAGUCUGGACACAGACCCAGGCACACAGGGAGGAUGCCACGUGCUGACUGGAGUGAUGCUGCCACACACCAAGGAACCACCAGAAGUGGAGGGAGGCCUGGACAGAUCCUUCCGCAGAGCACAGCCCUGCUGACAUUUUGAU